UCAGGACGAACGCUGGCGGCGUGCCUAACACAUGCAAGUCGAACGGGACUCAGCCCUUCGGGACUGAGUUUAGUGGCGAACGGGUGAGUAACGCGUGAGGAACCUGCCUUUCAGUGGGGGACAACAGUUGGAAACGACUGCUAAUACCGCAUAAUACUUUCGAGCGGCAUCGUUUGAAAGUCAAAGAUUUAUUGCUGAAAGAUGGCCUCGCGUCUGAUUAGCUAGUUGGUGAGGUAACGGCCCACCAAGGCGACGAUCAGUAGCCGGUCUGAGAGGAUGAACGGCCACAUUGGGACUGAGAUACGGCCCAGACUCCUACGGGAGGCAGCGGUGGGGAAUAUUGGGCAAUGGGGGAAACCCUGACCCAGCAACGCCGCGUGAAGGAAGAAGGCUUUCGGGUUGUAAACUUCUUUUACCAGGGACGAAGAAAGUGACGGUACCUGGAGAAAAAGCCACGGCUAACUACGUG
rnacentral:rRNA from 1 species